UGGAGAGCGGUACCGGGUCCCGGCCGGGACGAAUAGCAUUGGCGAGUAGUCCUCUCCGCUUUUUCGUUCUCAGCAAGAAGCGAAGUGGCUGACUGUCUUGCCGCUAGAGAAGGGAGAGUCCGGCGACCAAGUCGCCGUCCUCUCGCUUCCCUGGGGCCUAGACUCUGGAUCCGCACAUCUAUCAUCCCAUCCAAAGAAAAUGUCGUCGUCGCGCCACCUUAUUCAACCGGCCUCGAAGAAGGGGGUAAAGCCGCUGCAGUGCACGCCGCCACGGCUACUCGAAGGCCGCAAUUGACGAGGGCCCAGGCAGCUAUGCCACCCGCGGGCAAGAGGUCCACACCAGCAGCAACGCCUCCGCCGCCGGUCGAUGUCCCAUUGAGCGGGGAGCAGAGGUAGAAGCAGUGCUGUUCCUACAAGAACAAGAACGGCACCCUCGAGGCCGCCACCACGCCGCUCCACGACCGCCGACCGCGUGCCGACAAGAGGCUUCGCUUUGUAGCCGCGAUAGCGACAGUACGAAAGCGUAGAAGAACCAUCUGGCUAGGACGAAGGGCGCGCCGGGCCGCGCAGCAUGCAUGCAUGCACCUCCGAUCGCUCUCCGUAGGCCGCGCGUCCGGUUUGCCAUAGGCCGCAUGCACAUCGGAUGAAGCGGUGAUUAAAAGAAAAGCAACGCCGUGUACACCCUUUCGAGCGGCAGGCAGGGAAACGUGGGUGGGUGGAUGGGUCAGCGAGGGCCUGUUGGCGGUGGCAGGGGUAGGGUCGAGGUUGUAAGUGCACAACUCGCUUCGCUUCGUGAAACCCUGUGUGUACUAGGAACGUUGACGUCGUCGUCGUCGGGUGACCGUGGUACCUCCGUGUCUUUUUCUGUACCGCUGCUCAGGGUUACAACGCGUGGAUUUCGGGCAUCUACGAGUGGCAGUGGCCGUGAUUAGCUGUGGCCUUCGCAGGUCUACGAGCGGCAGCGGCCGUGAUCAGCUGUGGCCUUCGCGGGACAUUUGCGUUGCGUACUCCGUACUAACUAAAUUGUUUUCGUUUUGACCCACCUCCUUUCCUUGUGCAAGGGUCAGUGCUCCAGUCGGGUCCAGCAAAAGAAAUGAUGAUAAAGGGGGUGGCGCGAACCUCACGUGAGGUGUGCGACGAGCCCUUCUCCAAGUGUGCCGGCGCGACCAGAGUCAGCGGCAGGGCCAGAGGGGCAGGGCCAGGCGCGCAGCGCCAAGAGUGUCCUGGUGGCCCGGCGCCAACAAAAGUGCCGCACCGGUACCGGCGGCAGCAGACGCAGUGGCCGCGGCCGCCGAAGUAGCCGAGGACCUAGCAGUUCUACGAGGAGCGGGCGCCGAUGCGGCAGGCGCCGUGGAGGGCGGCGCGGCUACUGGGGUUCUUGCGCGUGGACACCCGCGAGCUGCCGCGGCGCCUCGCCGAGUGCUACCACGUCCAGCUGGACGAGCUGGCCCGGUCGGAGGCGCGGCGGAAGCUGCCGACGCUGCCGCAGUAGGUGUGACGCAGCGGCUACGUGCUGUGGGGGCUCCUCUAGUAGCUCGGCCACUAGUGGCCCUGCGAGUUGCACCACCUCUACCGGCGCCUGCGGCCGCAGGCCGCGCACCACGACAGGAGGUCGUAGCCGUGGUACAUGUACUUGGGGGUAGCGCUGGGCCUGCGCGGCGAGCUGCUCAGCACGACCUCGCUGGAGCUGAUGACGUUUGUCUGGUUCUUGACCAUGACGAUGCGGUUCUGCUAGCGCCUCGCCCCGCGCACCCUCCGCCGCGCCCGCGACCCCGACCUGGACCGCCACCACUAGGGCCACCACUGCGAGCCGCUCGACGACGUCGGCUGGUACUUGUGGUCGUGGUCCGUGUAUGAGUUCAUGGAGUGGCCGCUCCGGUUCCGGAUGCAGUUGCUCAGCGUCCGGAUGCACGUACAGUUCCUGCGGCGGCUCCGCGUGCAGUCCCACGAGCUCCGCGGGUUACGGCCGCCUGCCGCGAUGCAGACGCGGCUCUCCUGCGACGUGGCGCCGCUCGAGACGGCCUAGGAGCGGCCCGAGAAGGGCCUGGUGGGCUAAGGGUGUUCUACGUUCCUGCUCCAUUUAGGCGGUUUCUUCCCAAUGUUCAUGUGGUUGGUCGGAGAGUUCCUGGAACCGUACUUCAAGUGGGGACACGUUCUUAUGGAGACACUUCGCCACUUUAGGGACGUUCUCUUCCCUAAGUAAGUCUUCCGAAGACCGUGGUUCCACGGACGAUCAUCUCCCCCAAGCGCCGGAGUCUUAAGUCGCCGCGGGCACAAAUACAGCUUUGAAACUAUCCGAAGGCGUGUUUCAUUGUUACGUCAAGCGGCAGUACCCUUAACAUUAAGUAAACUAAUUCACUAUACGACGACCGAAAUUAUCCGAAGAACAUGACAUACAUAGUUCGACGGCUCAAACACAUCGUCGCGGCACAACUGGACGUGACAACGGACCUUGACAUGUGGCGAUGUCUCGUUGAAGUCACUACGUACGCUUUAUAAAAGGGACCAGCUACAAGAGGGGGUCGUAGAUCAACAAGUAGAACAGACUGAGUCGCCCAUGUUGUUUGGCUAGUUCAACCGUGAACCGUCGGGAGAAA
rnacentral:rRNA from 1 species